ACACAUGCAAGUCGAACGAGAGGACAUGAAAAGCUUGCUUUUUAUGAAAUCUAGUGGCAAACGGGUGAGUAACACGUAAACAACCUGCCUUCAAGAUGGGGACAACAGACGGAAACGACUGCUAAUACCGAAUACGAUCCGAAAGUCGCAUGACAUUUGGAUGAAAGGGUGACCUAUCGAAGAAGCUAUCGCUUGAAGAGGGGUUUGCGUCCGAUUAGGUAGUUGGUGAGGUAACGGCCCACCAAGCCGACGAUCGGUAGCCGGUCUGAGAGGAUGAACGGCCACACUGGAACUGAGACACGGUCCAGACUCCUACGGGAGGCAGCAGUGGGGAAUCUUCCGCAAUGGACGAAAGUCUGACGGAGCAACGCCGCGUGAGUGAAGACGGCCUUCGGGUUGUAAAGCUCUGUGAUUCGGGACGAAAGGCCAUAUGUGAAUAAUAUAUGGAAAUGACGGUACCGAAAAAGCAAGCCACGGCUAACUACGUGCCAGCAGCCGCGGUAAUACGUAGGUGGCAAGCGUUGUCCGGAAUUAUUGGGCGUAAAGCGCGCGCAGGCGGUCACUUAAGUCCAUCUUAGAAGUGCGGGGCUUAACCCCGUGAUGGGAUGGAAACUGGGAGACUGGAGUAUCGGAGAGGAAAGUGGAAUUCCUAGUGUAGCGGUGAAAUGCGUAGAUAUUAGGAAGAACACCGGUGGCGAAGGCGACUUUCUGGACGAAAACUGACGCUGAGGCGCGAAAGCGUGGGGAGCAAACAGGAUUAGAUACCCUGGUAGUCCACGCCGUAAACGAUGGAUACUAGGUGUAGGAGGUAUCGACCCCUUCUGUGCCGGA
rnacentral:rRNA from 1 species